AAGAGACAGCAGUCGCCACGGUAAUACGAAGGGUGCAAGCGUUAAUCGGAAUUACUGGGCGUAAAGCGUGCGUAGGCGGUGAGUUAAGUCUGCUGUGAAAUCCCCGGGCUCAACCUGGGAAUGGCAGUGGAUACUGGCUCGCUAGAGUGUGUCAGAGGAUGGUGGAAUUCCCGGUGUAGCGGUGAAAUGCGUAGAGAUCGGGAGGAACGUCAGUGGCGAAGGCGGCCAUCUGGGACAACACUGACGCUGAGGCACGAAAGCGUGGGGAGCAAACAGGAUUAGAUACCCGUGUAGUCCCUGUCUCUUAUAC
rnacentral:rRNA from 1 species